rnacentral:rRNA from 1 species
AACGAACGCUGGCGGCAUGCCUAACACAUGCAAGUCGAACGAGAUCUUCGGGUCUAGUGGCGCACGGGUGCGUAACGCGUGGGAAUCUGCCCUUUGGUUCGGAAUAACAGUUGGAAACGACUGCUAAUACCGGAUGAUGACGAAAGUCCAAAGAUUUAUCGCCAGAGGAUGAGCCCGCGUAGGAUUAGCUAGUUGGUGUGGUAAAGGCGCACCAAGGCGACGAUCCUUAGCUGGUCUGAGAGGAUGAUCAGCCACACUGGGACUGAGACACGGCCCAGACUCCUACGGGAGGCAGCAGUGGGGAAUAUUGGACAAUGGGCGAGAGCCUGAUCCAGCAAUGCCGCGUGAGUGAUGAAGGCCUUAGGGUUGUAAAGCUCUUUUACCCGGGACGAUAAUGACAGUACCGGGAGAAUAAGCUCCGGCUAACUCCGUGCCAGCCGCCGCAGUAA